GUUGAAUUGUUUUAUUCCAUAUACACUGUUUUUUGGGGGAAAUCGUUCUAAACACAGACAUGCUGCAUCACUGCACAGCUCCAGAUGAUAAAGUCUGAGGGCAAAACAACCAAGAGGUGAGAGAUGUGAAGAACACAGAAACAAGGGAAAUUCAGUAGUAUGGAAGAUUUCAAGAAACAGACAUUAUGUGCAUAUCGCACUAUUGUUUUUCUAACUUUAUGAACAUAGGUAACCAACCAAACUUCAUCUCAUUAUAUCACACUGACAUUGCCCUUUUCAAUAUUUUCAGUCAUGUGAAAAUACAGUACGCAGGUUAUUUUCUGACUGUCAUGUUAACCCUGACGAACGCGUCAUGUGCGCAUAUUAUAUACACACACAUAUACAAGAGCUGACCAAACAACAUAAACAACAAACAAUAUAUUAAUACAAAGGCUCUAAUACACAACAGUACCCUUUCCCUUCACACAGUACCUUCAGUAAUUAUUUUAAUGCCUGUAUAGUGGGACCCUGCACCUCAGGAUUGAGGCCAGAAACAAGCCUUAUGCAAACAUAGGUACAAAUAUGCCAUCAAUACAUUACAAGUGAGCUCCUCAUUGUACUCUAGGUUAAGUUACCUUCAAAUACUGCCUGUGCCAUAAAACCAUACAUUUUAGUUACACUGUUAGAAG